rnacentral:lncRNA from 1 species
AGCGACUCAAGCAGUGGAUGUGCUGAGAAUAGUGAGCCAGAGGAGGGAACCCAGGUGGGGAAGGUGUUCCAAAGGGGUUGAGUAUGGAAUAAGAAAGGUCUUUGGGCACAUGGUGGAGGCGGGACCCUGUCAAUGGUGCAGGGAGAGAGAAGAUCACUUCUAUCUCUGAGACCACAAGAGGCAAUGGAGACAGCUGCAGAGGCAGUUCCAGUAAUUCGAUCAGUGGAUGGCUACAAAAAAGAGAAAGUCUUCAAAGAGGAGAUGGCAUUUGCACUUGAAAAGCUCCACCGUGUUGAGAUGGAUGGAAUGCGUCCCAUCAAAUGUACAGAACUUAGAGAUGACAUCAAGAUCUGGUUAUGGUAACUACAGAAGGCUCUUGUUAGGAGGCAGAAUCCAAACAGUUUGGCUAAGAAAGAGAGCCACUGGGCUGAGCUAAGAGUUUGGAUGUGAUUCUGCAGGUGGUGAAUGUGGAAGAGAUGGCUCCACCUAAAUCCAUACUAUACUUCCCCAGUGUGAGUUCCCACUGAGAAGGGGCAUCUGUAUCCAGCCAGGACUACAUUUCCCAGAACUCCUUCUUUUCCGGGCAGGGCCAUGUGACCAGUUCUGGACAAAGGAAUGUGAGCCGAAGUGAUGUGAUUCAUGUCCACGCUAAGGCCAUUAAGAGGCAGUUGUGCUCUCUCUUCUUGGGCAAUUGAGAGGCAGUUGUGCCCUCUCCUGCCUGGAUGCAGAGGACCCAGUAGAUGGAAGAGCCUCAAAAGGAAAAGGGCCCAUGUCCCUAAACUUCAAGAGGGGAAACAUCUCCUAAAAACCAGGAACACCAGAUGAGUGAAAAGUGCACAUGUGUUAGGUAAGUCCACUGAGAGUCUGGGUUUGUUUGUUAUAGCAGCUACCACUCUCCUAACACACAGUAGGAAACCUUUGUAGUCUUUCAACAGGGAUUGCAAAAUAAAAAUAGUCUUAGGAAGAUGAAUAUGCCAUGGACAGGCAGGAUGGUGUGAUAUGGGGAGAGAAACACUGAAGGCUAAGAGGUGAGUUAGGAAGCUGUCACGGGGUUGUGAUGUGGUAAAACCUGAAGAAGCCUAGCAUACAACAGAAUUUAUAGAAAAGACAAAAGUAAUGAUAACCUUAUUUUUCUUUGCUUAUUACAAGCCAGACAUUAGCUAUGCACUUUAUACACAUUACCUCUUUUAAUAUUUUUAGUUCUUAUUUAAAUAUUUCUCUUGCUAUAUUGUAUGCAUUAAAAACAGUUUGGUUUUUUGGGAUGGAGUCUCACUCUAUUACCCAGGCUGGAGUGCAGUAGCGUGAUCAUAGCUCACUGCAGUGUUGACCUCCCAGGCUCAGGUGAUCCACCUGCCUCAGUCUCCCAAGUAGCUAGGACUACAGGUGUGUGCCAUCACACCCAGUUAAUUUUUUGACUUUUUGUAGAGAUGGGGGUCUCAUUUUGUUGCCCAGGCUUGUCUCCAACUCUUAGGCUCAAGUGAUCCUCCCGCCUCAGCCUCCCAAAGUGUUGGGAUUACAGACAUGAGCCACCACGCCCGACCUUAAAA